AACUCGUCUUCAAUAGUUGAAAGAAACUUACGUAAAGCUCUGCAAUUUAUUCUCUUGACAAUUUGUUUUGCUUUCCAACUUUUAGUUAAAAGUGACUGAUUAACAGUUUAACACACACACCGUCGUGUUAGUUUAGAUUAACGCCGCUUGGAAUUUUCUCUUAGUGUAUUCUGCUAAUGUCAGAACUCGUGAAAUCAUCGUGGUGAAAUGAGAAUAAGUUUCGUUCGCUACUGAAUAGGGUCGCCAGCACCAACUGGCGCAUUUCUAUCGACCCAUCCAUCAUCCGGCGGAAUUAAUUUCCAACCAUACUAUGACUCCUCGACUUGUUGAAGCAUUCAUAUCUAUCCCGGGUGGAAUAUCAGAUUUAAUUUUCUCCCAUAUUCAUCAGCAAAGAAAACAGGAUCUUCAUUCGCUUCGGAUCAGCUGUCUGGAUUUUGUGUACGAAAGGCUGCACGCUUUUGAACAAUGAGAUUGGCCUGCGGACGCGUCUGUGUGCGUGAUCGAUCAAGUCGUCGCACACACGGUGAGAUUUGCUGCCUGAAAACCACACGGUAACUUUAGAAAAUGAUUACGUCAGCCGUGAAAUUAGUGCGAUUCCACCAGGCGCAGGAUCGGCUGCACAGGAGAACCAAAAACACAACUUUCAUCCCACCUAUGAAUUCGCUCACAUUAUUAUUCAUCAUUCAGUAUUUAUGGCCUUCUAUACUUUGGUCUAGGGGCAAUAAACCAGACAGAACUGCAGCAACCAAGAACAUCAUCAUCUCCUUGAGAUUUGAACAAAAUAAUGGUCUGGCACUUAAUGUGAUCCAAGCAGCUGCAACUUUUGUCCGGACUCUGCUGACGAUAUUUCACCCUACACCGGCUCCCAGCUAAUGAGGAUUUCUCCGAUCGUAAUGCAACCUCUUUUUCAACUGAUUACGAAAGAGGCUUAUCACGUUACACGUUGCACCGACCAAAUAUUUUCAUUCUCGUCUGGAUCUCUGGAAUAUCGAAUUUCAUGGAAUCAAAGGCAAUUAAUUGUCUAAUUAUACACGCACGGACGAUCACCAUAGCGACGUGAAAUGGUUUUUUGUAAAACUGUUUACAGGGUCCUUCCAAUUGCUGGGGUAUACGUGAACAAAGUUACAUUUCGGCAUGUGUUUUAAGCAUGUGCGUGACUGGUUGGCCGUCUUUUGUCGUCACCACUUGAAAAACAUGGAACCAUCCAUCCGGCUAGCUACAGGCAGCAGCAGCAGCCCCCCAACGACUGGGAGCGCUCAUUAGGAACGGAUGUUGUGACACGCGAUUAAAAGCCAUCCUGAAUAUACUGUAAACAUUUCACUA
rnacentral:lncRNA from 1 species